rnacentral:RNase_P_RNA from 1 species
CGGGCUGGCCGGGCGAUCGCGUCGUCUCCACUGUUCACUCAGUGAGGACAUCGAGGAAAGUCCGGGCUCCACAGGACAGGGUGGUGGCUAACGGCCACCCGGGGUGACCCGCGGGACAGUGCCACAGAGAACAGACCGCCGCUACCCACCAGGUAGCGGUAAGGGUGAAACGGUGGGGUAAGAGCCCACCAGUCCUCGUGGUGACACGAGGAGCUAGGUAAACCCCACCCGGAGCAAGACCAGACAGCGUGCGUUUGAGGGCGGUCCGCCCGAGUGCGCGGGUAGGUUGCUAGAGGCCAUCGGCAACGAUGGUCCGAGAUGGAUGGUCGCCGACAACAGAACCCGGCUUACAGGCCAGCCCGUUCG